CAGCAGCCGCGGUAAUACGUAGGUGGCAAGCGUUGUCCGGAAUUAUUGGGCGUAAAGGGCUCGCAGGCGGUUUCUUAAGUCUGAUGUGAAAGCCCCCGGCUCAACCGGGGAGGGUCAUUGGAAACUGGGAAACUUGAGUGCAGAAGAGGAUAGUGGAAUUCCACGUGUAGCGGUGAAAUGCGUAGAGAUGUGGAGGAACACCAGUGGCGAAGGCGACUCUCUGGUCUGUAACUGACGCUGAGGAGCGAAAGCGUGGGGAGCGAACAGGAUUAGAUACCCCCGUAGUCCCUGUCUCUUAUAC
rnacentral:rRNA from 1 species